UCCAGAGGUGGCAAAGCCUUCAGGGUUCGACUCACAUUGUCUGUUCUCAAGGGACUCACACACACAAGCUAGACUGCCGAUUUGUUAAUUUGACAGAGAACUGAGACUGUCAGGAGGCUGCGCUGGUCAGCACGUCCUCUCCUUCUCGAAGCAAAGCCCCUGGGGAAGCCAGGCACCAGCAGAAGGCUGCUCCGUGAAGUCACAGCCCAGCGAACCACAGGCUCUUCCCGGCGAGAGGCAGGAAGCUGGCAAGCCAGAGCGCACAGCCCCUCAGGCCUGGGGGCCGGUCUCCUGGACAGAGGACGCCCGCCCUCCAACAUUCUCACACUUCGGAUGCUCCUGUUGUAGAAUCAACGCAUUCGACUAAAACAAUGACUGAUGACAAGUACUGCUCUAGGUCCUGGGAAUAGAAGAUAACCCAAGUCGUCCAGCAGCUUCCUGUUGAGUCGGAGAGCAUGAGUGCAAAGAAUCACCAUUUGGGCAAGUUAGCAAAUCAGUCCACCGGUUACAGAAGUGUCACUCAAAGUGGAAUCCACGGGUGCAUGCUCUGGGAUAGGAUACUUCUCUAUGGAGACUUUUUCCCCUGUGUUUUCAUCGCAGUGAUAAUCUAAGAAAAACAGCAUAGGAGCAUAUGCUAUUUCCUUGGGAUGGCCACCUUGUAAGUGAGAGCUGCGGAACCAAAUCACGUACAGCACGAGACAGCAAAGGCCGGCCCAACACAGAGGCUGCUCUGCGGGCCACAGUAGGAGGGCCACCUGGACACAUGGAAGCAAGACACUUUUAUCAUGAGUUAGAACCGAAACCGUGACAUCACUAAUGUAGAGUAUUCAAGUAAUGUCCACAGAGUUUCACCGCCUUGUAUGGGUGUGGUGGCCAGGCCUCCAAGAUGACUG
rnacentral:lncRNA from 1 species